GCGAGGUAUGCUUUCUGCAGAAAUGAGAAUGCCAGUGCUGAGCAGGAUUUAAACAGAUCCUGUCAGUGGGAAUGUAAUUUGGGUCAAUGAAUCAUAAAUCCUAUUUUGGUAAUUUGCUGAAGACAACAGCAUUGGGAGCCUAAUGGAGACAGCUUGAAAGAGAUGCUGAUAGCCCCUGAGGAGGGACCCAGUAGCAUCACAAAUGGAAUGGACCACACCACUCACAACCCACUGGGAACCUGACACUCAAGGACCGAUUCUAUCUGAACUCCAGUGAAAAAGCCAGUGCUUUGCGCCAGCCUUCAGGUGUUCCACAAAAGUGUUUGUCAAGAUUAACCUUUCUAAAGAGGGCUACACUCCUGAAUGCCAGCUGAGAAUCAUUUUGGAUCUUCUUCUGCAUGCUGAUUGCUUUGAGCAAAAAGAACCAAACUGCUGGCUUGAUAGUCUUUUCAAACAGUCCAUCAGAACUCAGAAACUCAGACAAGCUUCUUUGGAGAAAGUUCCCAUUGGAGAUUUCCAUAGGAAAGCUUUUACCGACCUGGAAUAUUUUUCUGAAUCACAGAGUGACACUGCACAGUGAAGGUGAACUUCAUCGUAGUCCCCGAUGAACUUGAAGACCGUGACGUGGAAGCGACAGGUAUGGAAGAAAACAAAAAGUCCAGAAGGGGAUACAAAUAGGACAAUUUUGCUACUAC